UCCUCCUCCACCUGGCAGCUACACAGCUGAUUGUUGUCCUCUGCAUUUUGUAAGGUCCAGCUGUCAUCACUGGGGCGCGGGGGGCCAUGCUGGACCCUGCGAAUGCAUACGUGGUGGAAAAGCGAGGAAACCAGUUCUGUGGCAGGAGACCCAGG